rnacentral:rRNA from 1 species
UACGUAGGGGGCUAGCGUUGUCCGGAAUCAUUGGGCGUAAAGCGCGUGUAGGCGGCUCGCUAAGUCCGCUGUGAAAGUCGGGGGCUCAACCCUCGGAUGCCGGUGGAUACUGUCGGGCUAGAGUACGGAAGAGGCGAGUGGAAUUCCUGGUGUAGCGGUGAAAUGCGCAGAUAUCAGGAGGAACACCAAUUGCGAAGGCAGCUCGCUGGGACGUUACUGACGCUGAGACGCGAAAGCGUGGGGAGCAAACAGG